rnacentral:lncRNA from 1 species
GCUGCCUUAGGGCACAUUUCAUACUUCUUUGAUCUUUUAAUGUCUUGAAAAGAAAAAGAAACAGCACCUGCUGAUGAAAGAUAUUCCAAGAGAAUAGCAGGCUCUGUUCUCCAACAAUCUCAAAAGCUUAACUAUCCUACUCUGUGGACAGUUUUAAAGACUGUGUAUUUUAGAAACCAAUCUCUUCAAGAACUAGCUGAACAGUAUAAAACAACUGUCCUUUUAUUGUUAUUUUCCAAUUUAUUGCCAGAGGAUUAUCUGUUAAUGAGCCUUAGCUUAUUAGAAAGACUUAAGGAAGCUAGAAACUUUCACCACAAUAGCACUGAUUGGUUUGUCAUAGUCUGAAGUAACUCUCUUGUACUAGAUGAUUCAUAAAUUCUAAAUAGGAGACCAAAGGGGCAGCAGUUCUAAAGAGAGCAGCCACACAACCCCAUUGCACAAUAAGCUUUGUCAGCACAGCCUGUAGAUAAACACUGGGUUGCAAUAUAGCCACGAAUGACCGGUUCUCUCCCUUGUUCAUCCAUCCUGGGAGACCUACAGGUGCCUUAAAUUCUCCCUAAAUUGUUCCAGAAGACAUCGCCUGUGUCCCUUAGCCCGGUCUUCUUGACUACUCUUUAGGUUUCAGCCUUUUUUUUUUUUUUUUUUUUUUUAACUCUCAUCUGCUCAGUUUUGUGCUGAUUAAUGCCUGUAAAGGUACCACCAUGGCUGCUAAGGCCCUCACUCUCACAUUUCUGUGCCCAGAUUGUAAAGCCCUAAGUUCCAUGCCAAGCUCCUGACACCUUGUGCUCUCAAUGUCCUAGAUUUAUUCAUUUUCGAUCUUAUCUUUCAUUAUACUCUUUACUUUCAGACUCAUAGCAGAAACAGGACUUGAGGACCAUCUAAAUGAGUGAUAGACAUCCCACCCCUUCCUUCCUGACCUACCAUUCUUUAACCCUCUUCCAAUACAGUGCAUUCCAUCCCAAGUUUCUCAGUCCCUCAUGCCAGUGGUACCUGGCCAGCCUGUGGCAUCAGUCCUCUAGAUUUGCCUUAGUCUUGGGACAAACUUACGUAGGUCUUCCUUCUAGUAAAACAUUGAGAUAAAACAACUUUGCAACUGUUAUUUCUUCUUGAAAUUAGCAUUCUGAACGUAUCAUCCUUAAAGGUAUGAAUCAAUAGUUUCAUCUCUGAUAAAUAUUAGAAGUCAUCUGAAUUUCUUUCCAAGUCAUUGGAGGGGAGCAAGAAUUAAUAAGACAAAGAAAAUGAAUUCAUGCUUGUCACUUUAUAGAAACAGACCCACUAAUUGAUACGAAUCAAUAAUGCCUUGCAUGUCCUAUGUCCAGUUUUCAAGGAGUCAUCCACUUAAUAGUGUUAUGUACUCAGAGCUCCCACAUUCAUCAAUCAGUCAACCACAUAUGCUCACAUCUCAUGAGCCACUGCUUUUGCUGUCCUAACCACUUGCUCCCAUUGUGACUCACAGUCCAGUCUCUCUGCUUGCAAACUUGGCUUUCCACCCAGUGGCUCUCUUCUCUCACUAUUUGGAGGCAGAACUACAGAGUGAUUAAGAGCAACUUGGAAUUCUGGUGCCAAGUGUCAACGGUGUGGCUGUGCACAGAUGAUGUACCCUGCCCCUGUAACUGAGUCUCUCCAGCUAUAGAAUGGAGGCAAUAAUAAUAAUACUUAAAUCUUUGGGGGUUUUCAAAGGAUUUAAAGCACUUCAAAUGUCAAGCACUAAUUGUUAGCUAGGAUUGCUAUUAUUCAGGGAAAGGCAUGUCACCCAUCAAUAAAGAAUAGCCUCAAGAAUCAAACUCUGAAGGGCCACUCUGAAGUGGAGAGUUAGAAGACAGAAUGUAAAAGUGCCUAAUUAUUUUUUAUAAGUUGUAAGCUGACUCGUGGCAAGCUUAUCUCCAUGACUGCAGCCCAAAAGAAGUAAGUAACUCCAUAAAUGGAAGGCUAUAUCAUUGCACUUCACAGCACCAAGACCAACGGAUGGGCUCUAAAUACCAGCUGGCAGAUGAACUAAAGAAACAGAAACUAAUUUUUUUUUAAACUCUAAUUUGAUGCUGUUUUAUUUAUAUAAGAAAAUCCUCAAUGUAAUUUGCAAGCUCAGCAAUAAUUCAAGAAAUAUAAAUAGCUCUGCAAAAGAAUGUGUGAACAUCAUUUAGAAAGCUUAACUUCUAAUGAGUGAAAAGUUUCCUAAGAAAAACAAAUGACUUAGGCUAACAGGAAAAUAACUCCUAAAGCAACACAUCCAAGGAGAAGAGCCAGGAUCCAGAACCUCACUGGGUCUCACGUCCACCAGAGCUCUGCUUGCCAAUGGUUCACAGGUGCCU